AAAUGCAGGAAAAGCCAAUAGCUCCCCAACUUCACGACCCAUCUCCUCAACCAAGUAGUCCAUCUUCUCCUCCAGUGACUCAUGAUUGUACUGUAAUACCUGCGGAUGUUUCAUGCUCAUCUCCAAAAUGUCAUCAAAAGUCAAGCCGUAGUUCAGAAAUACGCCAAUAACUUCUUGCAUAUUUUUGCAGCUAGUCCUGGUAACAGCUCCCAUUGCCAUAGCCAAUUCCUUAGUAUUCUUCUUAUACCCAAUCUUCACCAAAAAAACCAGCUUGUAAGCGAGAUUCCCCUCAAAUGACAAACUUAGAAAUAAAGGAGCUUUUAUCAAGAACCUGAAUAU
rnacentral:misc_RNA from 1 species